CGCUGGCGGCAGGCUUAACACAUGCAAGUCGAGCGGGCGUAGCAAUACGUCAGCGGCAGACGGGUGAGUAACGCGUGGGAACGUACCUUUUGGUUCGGAACAACUGAGGGAAACUUCAGCUAAUACCGGAUAAGCCCUUACGGGGAAAGAUUUAUCGCCGAAAGAUCGGCCCGCGUCUGAUUAGCUAGUUGGUGAGGUAAUGGCUCACCAAGGCGACGAUCAGUAGCUGGUCUGAGAGGAUGAUCAGCCACAUUGGGACUGAGACACGGCCCAAACUCCUACGGGAGGCAGCAGUGGGGAAUAUUGGACAAUGGGCGAAAGCCUGAUCCAGCCAUGCCGCGUGAGUGAUGAAGGCCCUAGGGUUGUAAAGCUCUUUUGUGCGGGAAGAUAAUGACGGUACCGCAAGAAUAAGCCCCG
rnacentral:rRNA from 1 species